CCCAGUUAUACUUAUCUUAGAAUAAAGUUACUUGGGUAGUAAAUAGUUAGGGGCUUGAAAUCUAAAGGAUUUGGCGGUAUUUUAGUCUUUUUAGAGGAACCUGUCCUAUAAACGAUAGUCCACGUAGAAUCUUACUUUAGUUUGUAAUCAGUUUGUAUACCGCCAUGAUUUGGUUUUAUUUUAAAAUACAUCCCAAAAUAAACUAGUAUUUAGGAUAUUAGGUCAAGGUGCAGCUGAUACUGAAGUAGUUGAUGGGUUACAAUAUAAUUUAUAUAAUAAUGGAUUAAAGGAUUAAACUUCUUUAGGAAGGUGGAUUUAAUAGUAUCUCAUUUUUAAUAAGAGAGGGAGAAGUUGCUCUAAAAUAUGUACACAUCGCCC
rnacentral:rRNA from 1 species